rnacentral:lncRNA from 1 species
CUGUCUGCCUGUCUGUCUGUCUGUCCUGGCCCAGCGAGCGGACGCGCAGAGCGAGCGGCUGCGGCGGGAGCUGCGGGCGCUGCGGGACGAGCGCACGGAGCUGCUGCGGCGAGCCAGCGCCCUGCGCGGUGCCAACGACCGCCAGGCCGGCCACAUCCGCCACAUCCAAGAUAAAUUGCAAAAAGAACAAGAGCAGAAAGUAAUACUGGAGGCAACAAUCAGCCAUUUGCAGAACUUGAUCCACAACCAGAACAACCAACAGAAGAGCCAGGAGGUGACGGUGCAAAGGAAAGACCAGGUUUUCACCACACAGACCCCAUCUCUCAUUCCUGCCAAGGAAAAACAAAGUGCUCUGUCAGAGCACCCUGAGGAGGAGGAGGAGGAGAAGGAGGAGGAGGAGGAGGAGAAGGAGAAGGAGAAGGAGGAGGAGGAGGAGGAGGAGGGAACUGAAAGUCUGAAGGAUGAGAUGCAGAAAUGGACAUUCCAGCUCACAGCACAGGAGAACGAGAGACGGCGCGGUCCCUGCAUCCCUCUCCUGCUGGCAGUGGCAGCAGUGGCCAUCGCCGCCUUCCUGGCGAGUUACGGGCUCUGAAGGAGCUCCUUGAUGACUGACUUCACUGCAGGCACUGACCUCUG